rnacentral:rRNA from 1 species
UGGGGAAUAUUGCACAAUGGGGGGAAAACCCUGAUGCAGCGACGCCGCGUGAAGGAAGAAGUAUCUCGGUAUGUAAACUUCUAUCAGCAGGGAAGAUAGUGACGGUACCUGACUAAGAAGCCCCGGCUAACUACGUGCC